GUGCCAGCAGCCGCGGUAAGACGGAGGGCGCAAGCGUUGUUCGGAAUUACUGGGCGUAAAGCGCGCGCAGGCGGUCUGUUAAGUCUGCGGUGAAAUCCCGGAGCUCAACUCCGGAUAUGCCGCGGAUACUGGCGGACUAGAGACCGGUAGAGGCGAGUGGAAUUCCAGGUGUAGCGGUGGAAUGCGUAGAUAUCUGGAAGAACACCGGUGGCGAAGGCGGCUCGCUGGGCCGGUUCUGACGCUCAGGCGCGAAAGCGUGGGGAGCAAACAGGAUUAGAUACCCCAGUAGUCC
rnacentral:rRNA from 1 species